UCCGAUUCAACCCCUAGCCUGGGAACCUCCAUAUGCCGCGGGAGCGGCCCAAGAAAUAGCAACAACAACAACAACAACAACAAAAAAAAGACAAAAAAAAAAAAGAAAAAGCAGAAAUCUCAACUGAUACUGCAGAACACAAUAAAACACAGUAAUAUGAGCAAUUACAUGCCAAAAAAUUUGACAACUUAGAAGAAAUGGACAACUUUCUAGAAAUAUAUAGCCCACCGAAACAGAAUCAAGAAUAGAUCAUUUGAACAGAUCAAUCACUAGAAAUGAAACUGAGUAUGCAAUUAAGAAAAAAAAACUCCCUACAAACAAAAGUCCAGUACCAGAUAGUUUCACACACAAAUUCUACCAAACAUACAAAGAGGAACUUAUACCCAUCCUUCUUAAACUUUUCCAAAAGACUGAGAAGGAACACUCCCAAAGACAUUCAAUGAAGCCACCAUCACCCUAAUAACAAAACCAGACGAAGAUAUUGCCAAAAAAAGAAAACUAUAGGCCAAUAUGUUUGAUGAAUAUAGAUGCAAAAUUCUUAAUGAAAUUUUAGCCAACUGAAUCCAACAACACAUAAAAAAGAUCAUACACAAUGCCCAAGUGAUAUUCAUUCCAAAUUCACAAAGAUGGUUCAACAUAUGCAAAUCAAUCAAUGUAGUAUAACAUAUUAACAAAAGGAAAGUCAAAGACCACAUGAUUAUCUCAAUAGAUGCUGAAAAGCAUUUCACAAAAUCCAACAUCCAUUCAAGAUAAAAAAAACUCUUAACAAAGUGGGUAUAGAGGGAACAUAGCUCAACAUAGUAAAAGCCAUUCAUGACAAACCCACAGCCCAUAUAAUACUCAGUGACAAGGAUGCCUCCACUAACUACUAUUUUUCAACAUAGUAUUGGAACCCCUAGUCACAGCAAUCAGGCCAAAAAAAGAAAAGAAAAGAAAAGAAAAAUAUCCAAAUUGCAAGAGAAGAGGUAAAACUCGCUAAACGCAGAUGACAUGAUACUAUAUAUAGAAAACCCUGAGGACUCCACACAAAAACUACUCAAACUGAAAAAUGAAUUCAGCACAGUAGCAGGAUACAAGACUAACAUUCAGGAUUCAGUUGCAUUUCUGUACACUAAUAAUGAACUAUUAGAAAAGGAAUAUAAAAUCAAUUUGGGAGUUCCUGCUGUGGCUUAGCAAGUUAAGAACCUAACAUAGUAUCUGUGAGGAUGCAAGUUCAAUCCCAGGCCUUGCUCUGUGGGUCAAAAAUACAGUAUUGCCACAAGCUGCAGAAUAGGUUGCAAAUGUGGCUCAGAUCUGGUGUUGCCAUGGCUGUGGUGUAGGCCUGCAGUUACAGCUCCUAUUCAAGCCCUAGCCUGGGAAUUUCCAUAUGGCACAGGUCAAGCCAAAAAAAUUAAAAAAUUAAAAAUACCUUUUUAAAUUGUACCCCCAAAACCCACAAAAAUACCUAGGAGUAAACCUGACUGAGGAGGUGAAAGACUUAUACCCAGAGAGCUAUAAAAACAUAAGCAAGAAAAUCAAAAAGAUUCAAAGAAAUGAAAAGAUAUCUCACGCUCUUGCACUGAAAGAAUAUUCUUAAAAUGGCCAUACUACCCAAAGCAUUCUACAGAUUUAUGUGAUCCCUAUCAAAUUACCAAUGACAUUUUUCACAGAACUAGAACAAAUAUUCCAAAAACUUAUAUGGAACUAAAAAAGACCAAGAAUUGCCAAAGCAAUCCUGAGGGGAAAAAAAAAACAAAGCAGUAAGCAAAACUCUCCCAGACUUGAGACAAUAUUACAAAGCUACAGUCAUCAAGACAGUGUGAAACUGGUGCAACAACAGACAUACGGAUCAAUGGAACAGAACAGAGAGUCCAGAAUAAACUCAGACACUUACGGUCAAUUAAUCUUCAACAAAGGACGCAGGAAUACAAAAUGGGAAAAAGCCUCCUCAACAAUUGGUGCUGUCAAAACUGGAUGGCUACAUGUAAAUCAAUGGAACUAGAACACACCCUCACACCAUGUACGAAAUUAACUCAAAAUGGAUUAAAGACUUAAAUACUAGACACCACACCAUUAAACCCCUAGAAGAGAACAUAGGAAAAUCAUUCUCUGACAUAAACCAUACCAGUGUUUUCUUAGGUCAUUCUCCCAAAUCAAUACGAAUAAAAAUAAAAAUAAGCAAAUGGGACCUAAUCGAAAACUUGCAAGCUUCUGCACAGCAAAGGAAACCAUAAAAAAAGUAAAAAGACAAUCUAUGGAUCAGGAGAAAAUAGUUGCAAACAAUGCAAGUGAAUAGGGCUUUACCUCCAAAAUAUACAAACAACUCAUUCAACUCAUCAAAAAAAAACAAACAAUGGAAUCAAAAAAUAGGCAGAAGACCUAAAUAGACAUUUCUCCAAAGAAGACAUAUGGAAGGCCAGUAAGAACAUGAAAAAACACUCAAUAUCACUAAUUAUUAGAGAAAUGCAAAUCAAAACUACAAUGAGGUACCACCACACACCAGUCAGAAUGGCCAUGAUUAAUAAGUCUACAAAUAAGCAAUGCUAGAGAGGGUGUGGAGAAAAGGAAACCCUCCUAAACUGUUGGUGGGAAUGUAAAUUGGUACAAGCACUAUGGAAAAUAUACAGAGGUUCCUCAGAAAAUUAAAUAUAUGAUCCAGCAAUCCCACUCCUGGGCAUACAUCCGUACAAAACUAUAAUGCGAAAAGAUAUUGCAUGGAGUUCCCAUAUGGCUCAGCAGUAAUGAACCCAACUAGCAUCCAUGAGGAUGCAGGUACAGUCCCUGGCCUUGCUCAGUGGGUUAAGGAGCUGGCAUUGCCAUGAGCUAUGGUGUAGGUCACAGAUACAGCUCAGGUCCUGCAUGGCUGUGGCUGUGGCUGUGGCUGGCAGCUGCAGCUCCAAUUCAACCCCUAGCCCGGGAACUUCCAUAUCCCAAAGUGAGGACCUAAAAAGCAACAACAAAAAAAAAAAAAAAAAAAAA
rnacentral:lncRNA from 1 species